AUGUACACUUACCAUUGGUUGGGUUCCCGGGUACCAGUGGUCAGGCCAGUGAGGCUUCCCGGUGUCCCUUAUCCGCCAGAGGCUGCCACAGUCAGCUUGCUUAACCUGGCCCUCGUAAGGCAGCCCGAUGAUUCCAAUUGGGCCUCAGGAGGAAUAGGGUCACACCUGAUAACUGCCAAUGAAGCAGAUUUGCAAUCCCAAACAACACAACUGGAAGAUUGUAUUAACAUGCCAUUGGGAGUAUCUGACAUGUGGUUACUAAUCAAUGUCAUUCUCAUCUUGUGGGUUUCUUGUUCUCAAGGACAAGAAUCUUGUGAUAUGCCAGUAUUCGUGAAUGCCAGACUCAAGAGCAGUGGUACAAGGUUUCAGCUCAAUGACCAGCUGGACUUUGAAUGCUAUGAUGGAUAUGAAAACAGACUUGGACACAUCACAGGCUCCAUAGUCUGUGGUCACACUGGUUGGUCUGAUACACCCACAUGUUAUGAAAGAGAAUGUGAGAUUCCUCUAAUAGAAAAAUACUUAAUUGUUGAGCCCAGAAAAGACAAAUAUAGAGUUGGAGAUAUGUUGAAAUUCUCCUGCAGACAAAGAUUCACAAGAGUUGGACCAGAUUCAUUUCAGUGUUAUCACUUUGGAUGGUCCCCCUAAUUUUCCAACAUGUAAAGAGCUAGUAAAAUUGUGUGGCACACAUCCUCAACUCCCCAAUGGGGAGGUUAAAGAAAGAAACAAAGAAAAUUAUGAACACAAUGAAUUGGUGGAAUAUGUUUGCAACCCUGGAUUUUUGAUGAAGGGUCCUAAUAAAAUUCAAUGUGUUGAUAGAAAAUGGACAACGUUGCCUAUAUGUAUUGGUAAUGCCAGCACAUGUGGUGAUAUACCCGGACUUGAUUAUGGCUAUAUUGUUGAGUUUUCUGCCCCUCCCUAUCACCAUGGAGAUUCAGUGGAGUUCAAUUGCAGAGAAACAUUUACAUUGAUUGGACACAGAUCAAUUAAUGUGUUAGAGGAAUGUGGACCCAACCUCUUCAGUGUGUUGCAACAAAUGAACUUAAGAAAUGUAAACUAUCACACUCAUUUAACUAUGAGAUGGUUGAAUUUGAUCAUAACACCAACAAAAGUUACCAAUGUAAAGGAAGAUCAGAGAACAAGCACUCAAUAUGCAUAAAUGGAAGAUGGGAUCCUGAAAUAGCCUGCACAAAGCUACAAACACAGUCAUGCCCACCCCCACCUCAGAUUCCCAAUGCUCAAGAUAUGACAACUACAGUGAAUUACUGGGAAGGAGAAGAAAUAUCUGUUCUCUGUCAAGAAGAUUAUGUAAUUCAGGGUGCAGAAGAAAUUGUGUGUCAGGAUGGAAGAUGGCAGUCAAUACCAUGCUGUGUUGAAAAGAUUCCAUGUUCUCAACCACCUCGUAUAGAACAUGGAAUUGUGAAAGCAUCUAGUUCUUCAGAAGAAAGGAAAGAAACAUUUAAACCCAGGCUUUAUGCACAUGGCACUAAAUUGAGUUAUAUUUGUGAAGAUGGUUUCAGGAUAUCUGAAGAAGAUGGGAUAAUGUGCUACGUGGGAAAAUGGAAUUCUCCACCUCAGUGUGUAGGACUUCCUUGUUAACCACCAUAGUUGAUGACGCAUUGUAUUCUACCUCACAUAUUAGAUAGUUACCAGUAUGGAGUAAGAAGUCACUUACAACUGUGCUGAAGGUUUUGGGAUUAAUGGACCCACAUUUAUAAAAUAUUUAGAAGGAAAAUGGUCCCAUCCACCAGAAUGCAUAAAAAUGUAUUGUUCUAGUUUACCUGACUUUGGUGAUGCCAUGCUCAUAGGCCCAAAGAAGGAAUCAUAUAGAUCAGAAGAAAAAGUGACUUAUACGUGUCCAGAAUAUUACCAAUUGGAUGGAUCCAAUAUUGUACAGUGUAUUAAGAGCCAGUGGAUGGGAAGGCCGACAUUCAGAGAUGUUUCCUGUGUGAAUCCACCCAGAGUGAAAAAUGCUAUUAUAUUAAAUGAGAUGCCUAGGUAUCUACCUGGUCAGAGAAUAUGUUAUCAAUGCCAGGCCUUCUAUGCACUUUAGGGAAACAGGAAUGUAAUAUGUAGUAAUGGACAGUGGUCGAAACCACCAAAAUGCUUAGACCCUAAAGGAAAAUGUGGUCCCCCUCCACCUAUUGACAAUGGAGACAUUACCUCAUUCCCAUUACCAGCUUAUGCUCCAGGAUCAUCAGUUGAGUACCGAUGCCAGGCCUUCUAUGCACUUCAGGGAAACAGGACUAUAAUAUGUAGGAAUGGACAGUGGUCAAAACCACCAAAAUGCUUGGAUGCAUGUGUGGUAUCACAUGAAAUCAUGGAAAAGCAUAACAUACAAUUACGAUGGAGACAUGAGAAAAAAUUUUAUUCUAAAACAGGGGAUAAUAUUGAAUUUACAUGUAAAGCUGGAUAUCAUAAAAAGUCACCAGCUCAUGCAUUUCGAGUAACCUGUUGGGAAGGGAAAGUGAUUUAUCCCACUUGUGUAUAAAGCAAUGGUUAAGAUGCAGUCCUAAAAUUAAAAUAUGUACGUUUAUCCCAAGUUUUCAUUAUGAAUCCAAUUCUUCUCAGUUAUUUUUUCAACUAUUAUUUAACUCAUUUUUAUUCAUAAAUCAGAAUUUGGUGUUAAAUAGAAUGUGGAUGAUAUAACCUAAGAGACAAAUGAAUCCUUUCUUAAAAGCACCAUAUUAAAACUUGGUGAACCAAAAUGCUAUGUGUCCUAUUCAUAAAAUAUCUGUGUCAAGAAAUUAGUUGUGAUCACUUCCAUGCCUGCUUCUUUCCAUCCUUCUCCUAACUUUCUCAAAGCUUUCUCCAUAACUCCUGAGGCUUCCUGAGGCUCUCCAUUUCAGAGGAAAUGGGGGAAAAAAAUGCUUGCAUCUGUCUUCAAAAUCAUAUCACUUCACAAACACAUAGAAACCUAAUUGUGUCAUACCUAUGUUAUUAAUGAGAUAUACGAAAUUAUCAUUUACUUUUAUUUAUCUCUCAAUAGAUAUAUAUGCCAAAAAUGAUGAAAUGCAUGAUCUCCUAUAAGAUGUAUAUCUAGCAAACAUAAUAAUUCAAACAAAUCAUGAAGAGGAAUUCAAAUCUAAUUAGGUGCAUAACUAUUAUUACAUUAAAAGUGAUUUCAAAAGUCCAAUAUCAAGUAUAGA